GUCACAGCCGGCCCGGCCACAAACGGAGCCAGGAAAUCAAAUAUCACAGAGCACAUUGCACCUGCUGAGCUCAGCGUCACGGACAAGAGUUCAGAGGCACAACGGGAUGCUGCAGGGGGGAGGGUGUUUCCCAUCACUCAGUGAUGCCGCUCAAGGUGCGAGGGAGGGAACGUCCCUUGGCGUCUUUCACAAAACCUCGGAACAGGUCGUGGUGUUCUGACAUGCUCACUGUGCCGCAGCUCUUCUUGAGGUCAGAGACAGAGCAGUGGGAACUGAGACUUCUUCCCAUCCUGUGCCAUUUGUCCCCAGACCACUGUCCCUCUGGGUCAUGUCCUCCUGCUUCAUAUGAAGCAACAGAAUGCACAGGGAGGUUCGGUCAUGGGUCCCAAGUCACACAGCAAGUAAUUAGCAGAGAAGAAAUUUGAACCUGUGAUGCUGACUCAGAAUCUGACUCAAGAACAUGCAGGUCCUUAAAAGUGAAUUCCACGGGCAGCUGAGUGUGAGAAGCAAUGGCAUCACCAAAACUACCCCCAGGAUCUUGGUUCCCAGAGAAGAAGGCAAAAAGGAGGGUCUCAGUGCUUCGCCUUGCCAAGGCUGUGGAGCAAGAGCUGACUCCAGGAGAUAGAAAUUUCCCAGUCUUGUCCUGGCUCCACCUCCAUUCAUGAACGCCUUGAGAGUUCUGUUAGAAAUUACCCUGGUGAGAUAUCAGCCAUGCUUCUUCGGCACGGACUAUUGCAGUCUGACUGGGAUAUUGGGAAGAACGGAGAAUUCUCACUGGGUGAGGAGCACAUCUCUACAGCGACCCUGCAGCCCGGUGGAAUGUGGGUGGAAGAACCUGGGGUGGGAUCAGGCCUCCCCAGAGUCCCACACCAGGUCACCUGGGUGGUGUCCCUCUCUUCCAGCAGCCUCUGUUUCUCUGUCCAUCCAUACCUUCUGCUCCACAGCCCCUCACUGCCCACCCACCACUCUUCCUUCUUGCCUUCGCUGUGCUGUCAACCCUGCUCAGAUGCCU